rnacentral:rRNA from 1 species
GGACCCGCACAAGCGGUGGAUGAUGUGGAUUAAUUCGAUGCAACGCGAAAAACCUUACCUACCCUUGACAUGUCAGGAAUUUUGCAGAGAUGCGAAAGUGCUCGAAAGAGAACCUGAACACAGGUGCUGCAUGGCUGUCGUCAGCUCGUGUCGUGAGAUGUUGGGUUAAGUCCCGCAACGAGCGCAACCCUUGUCAUUAGUUGCUACGCAAGGGCACUCUAAUGAGACUGCCGGUGACAAACCGGAGGAAGGUGGGGACGACGUCAAGUCCUCAUGGCCCUUAUGGGUAGGGCUUCACACGUCAUACAAUGGUUGGUACAGAGGGUUGCAAACCCGCGAGGGGAAGCUAAUCUCAAAAAACCAAUCGUAGUCCGGAUUGCAGUCUGCAACUCGACUGCAUGAAGUCGGAAUCGCUAGUAAUCGCGGAU